rnacentral:lncRNA from 1 species
ACUUCAAAUCCUUCUUACCUUGAAAUUUUAAGUUUGGGUAUCAAGAACUGAUCCAACAUAUUUCUAAAAUGAUGAUUUUUUUUCUUUAAAGUUUUGAAAAACUACAGUCUUUGUUUUAAAAAGGCCAAAAGACAUUUUCUGAAGACAUAAUGGAGACUCUGGUGGUGGUGUUAGCAAAUCUUUUUGGAUGACGAUAUUUUCUUCAGUGUGUGAAAAACUUUGAAAAGAGAUUUUUUUCAUUCAGUGGGACAAAAUGGCUCCUGAAACAGGCAGAAGACUUGGCAGAAAAAUAAUUAUAAUUCAUAGCAG